CAGCAUCCCUGGGGUUACAGCAUCCCUGAGGUUACACAUCCCUGGGUGUCACAGGGCCAGGGUGCACUGGACACAUCCUGACCAUGGAGGGGAAUGGCCAGGGAGGAGCUGCCUGUGAUGCUGCAGGUACAGGGGAUGGGGCUCAGUGGAGCCAGAUUGGAGUGCGGGAAUUGGGGUGGGAUUGGG